rnacentral:misc_RNA from 1 species
CCGAGUGAGGGCCUCUCGCCCGACCUCCAACCCUUUGUUGAACUUCCGCGUUGCCUCGGGGGGACCCCGGCCGUUCGUGCCGGGACCCCCGAUGGACCCAACCAAAACUCUUUGCAUGUCGUGCGUCGGAGUAUUAAAGUAAAUCAAUUA